UGUGCACCUCAUUUCCUUCUUUUUGUUUUUGAUAUCAUUUUUGAAGAGUUACAAUUCCUUUUUUUUGAGCAAGGUUCACAAAAGUGUGAGGAGGGGCCACAGUCACAUAUCUACUCCUGCUAGCUUGCUAGUCUAGAUCGUAUGUGGAAAAUUCUGUGAUGUCAGACUUUCACGUCAUAAAUCUUUGGCACAAAGUGAGAUGUGCUCAGUUCGACCAUCUGACAGUGUAGCAAGAGGAGACAUGCCUUCCACAGACCUCAGACUGAAGAUGAUGAUACUGCUUUGGAUUACAGUGAUGCUUUUUAAUAAAAUUGCAGAUUCUGCACAGACAAAGGGCAUCAGUCAGCCAAACUCAGUGAUCUCUGCUGGUGUUGGUGAUAACGUGACUCUGCACUGCUUUCGACUGGGAGAGGAAAAUACUAAUUCCAUCGUUUGGUACAAACAAAAAGUAGGACACGAGCCUUGUGUAAUGGUCACAGUUCAACAUGAACCCAAAUAUGAAAAUGAAUUCAAGCCACCAAAAUUCAACAUUGAGAAAGAAAAAGAAAAAGGGAGCUUCCAUUUGAAAAUUGUCAACGUCGAACCAUCGGAUGAAGCCACGUAUUACUGUGGACUUAGAGAUUUUCUAACAAGGUUUGGAAAUGGAACAUUUUUAGCAGUUACCGGUGAGGGAGAUGUAAAAGUGUCAGUGUUGCAGAGCAGCAUGUUGGACUCGGUUCCUGCAGGAGCGUCAGUGACUCUGCAGUGCUCGGUUCUCUCUGAGAGCAGAGCAGCAGAUCUCCAAGUGCUCUGCACCUGUGUGUACAACUUCUCCAAGAACAUCCUCAGCCUCAGUGAUACUGGCACUUACUACUGCGCUGUGACCGUGUGUGGGAAGAUCAUUUUUGGGAACGGGACACAACUUGAUAAAUGA